UGCAAGUCGAGCGAGAAAGUACCUUCGGGUGCGAGUACAGCGGCGGACGGGUGCGUAACACGUGGGAAUCUGCCCAACAGAGGGGGAUAGCCCGGGGAAACUCGGAUUAAUACCGCAUAUGCCCUACGGGGGAAAGGGAGCCAAUCCUUGGAAGCUCCCGCUGUUGGAUGAGCCCGCGGGAGAUUAGCUUGUUGGUGAGGUAAUAGCUCACCAAGGCUGCGAUCUCUAGCUGGUCUGAGAGGACGACCAGCCACAUUGGAACUGAGACACGGUCCAAACUCCUACGGGAGGCAGCAGUGGGGAAUAUUGCACAAUGGGCGAAAGCCUGAUGCAGCCAUGCCGCGUGUGUGAAGAAGGCCUUUUUUGGUUGUAAAGCACUUUCAGCGGGGAAGAAAUGCCGGAGGUUAAUAGCCUUCUGGUUUGACGUUACCCGCACAAGAAGCACCGGCCAACUCCGUGCCAGCAGCCGCGGUAACACGGAGGGUGCAAGCGUUAAUCGGAAUUACUGGGCGUAAAGCGUGCGUAGGCGGUUUGGUAAGUCGGUUGUGAAAUCCCCGGGCUCAACCCGGGAACUGCAUCCGAUACUGCCAGACUUGAGUACAGGAGAGGAAAGUAGAAUUCCCGGUGUAGCGGUGAUAUGCGUAGAUAUCGGGAGGAAUUUCAGUGGCGAAGGCGGCUUUCUGGCCUGAUACUGACGCUAAGGUACGAAAGCGUGGGGAGCAAACGGGAUUAGAUACCCCGGUAGUCCACGCUGUAAACGAUGAGGACUGGACGUUGGGAUUUAUCUCAGUGUCGAAGCUAACGCGUUAAGUCCUCCGCCUGGGGAGUACGGCCGCAAGGCUAAAACUCAAAUGAAUUGACGGGGACCCGCACAAGCGGUGGAGCAUGUGGUUUAAUUCGAUGCAACGCGAAAAACCUUACCAUCCCUUGACAUCCUCGGAAUCCCGUAGG
rnacentral:rRNA from 1 species